rnacentral:rRNA from 1 species
CCUACGAGUGGCAGCAGUGGGGAAUAUUGCACAAUGGGGGAAACCCUGAUGCAGCAACGCCGCGUGGGUGAAGAAGUAUUUCGGUAUGUAAAGCCCUGUCAGCAGGGAAGAAGGAGACGGUACCUGACCAAGAAGCCCCGGCUAACUACGUGCCAGCAGCCGCGGUAAUACGUAGGGGGCAAGCGUUAUCCGGAUUUACUGGGUGUAAAGGGAGCGUAGACGGCAGUGCAAGUCUGGAGUGAAAGCCCGGGGCCCAACCCCGGGACUGCUCUGGAAACUGGGCGGCUGGAGUGCAGGAGGGGUAAGUGGAAGUCCUAGUGUAGCGGUGAAAUGCGUAGAUAUUAGGAGGAACACCAGUGGCGAAGGCGGCUUACUGGACUGUAACUGACGUUGAGGCUCGAAGGCGUGGGGAGCAAACAGGAUUAGAUACCCUGGUAGUC